UACGGGGGGGGCAAGCGUUGUUCGGAAUUACUGGGCGUAAAGAGCUCGUAGGCGGCUCGGUAAGUCAGGUGUCAAAUCCUCAGGCUCAACCUGGGGCUCCACCUGAUACUGCUGUGGCUAGAGUCCGGUAGGGGAGCGUGGAAUUCCUGGUGUAGCGGUGAAAUGCGCAGAUAUCAGGAGGAACACCAGCGGCGAAGGCGGCGCUCUGGGCCGGAACUGACGCUGAGGAGCGAAAGCGUGGGUAGCAAACAGG
rnacentral:rRNA from 1 species